rnacentral:lncRNA from 1 species
AUGCAGGGCUGGAAGCGGCCUGCGCCCGGGCCUCUCCCUGCCUCAUCGUGGGUUUAUUUUCAGGAGCUUCAAAGGACAGAAGCAUCUAAAGUAAUAGCUCCUCCUUUUGGGGUUUCUUUCCCAGGAGCUGGGGCGGAAGGGCCCGCUGCCCUCGCCCGGGAGCCUGGCCUUGUGGGUGCCUGGACUUCGCGGCCCUGCGUCCCCCUGCCGUCCCCACACUGCAAAGACCACAAGCUCCUGAGGGGAGGAACGGAACCAGCCAUUCGAAUUUUCUCAGGUUCCUCCUCCCCCGCUGCCGCCGGGGCCUAUGAAAUGCAUCUCGAGACUCCUGCAGAGUUAGGUCAGCAGACGCCUGCAACAAAUAUGAUUGCAAGGGUGAAGGUGACAUGAUUUACUUAAAUCAGGCAAUUUCUCCAUUAAAGCACUGAAGCCUCAACUCAUAAAGACACUCUUUAGCAGAUGAACUAUCACGUCGCCCAGCAUUUGUCAUAUUAGGUGAUUUGAAAGGAAAGAACAAUUAUAAAAAAGGAAUGGAAUUCUCCGUUGAGGAAGAAAAGAAUCCAGUUUUUGCAGCAGGGGGUGGUUAAUUUUGCACAGAUAAAAACAGGUUUCAGGGCAGUCCUACAGCUCUACCGUUCUACGAGGGAAACAUGGGAAGGGAAGGGCUCCCCCGCCCAAGCAGACGGCGGGAGGAAUUAGGGUCCGCAGCCCUCCCCCUCCAGCAUCAAAGGGUGUUCUGCUCCCCGUAGGAACAGCUCUGUGGCCAUAAACUGUGCCGCUGUCCCCCAACCCCCCACCCCACCCCGCUCGGUUCCGAGCUGCUUUCAAUUAGCAGGGAUUAUUAAACUGGAAACGUUUCCACUGCUGCUGAAGCUGCUUCCCUGCGUUAUGAGCUGAGCUAGGGGCGUCACAAUAAAAGCUGAUUGAUUAGCAACGAAUGUACUUACAGCAACUGAUGCCCAGUGUCAUUCUCCAUGCGUGUCGCAACCUCUCUCCCCUGCCCCCCUUGGGUUUUGUGUUUUCCCUCGGAGAUUAACCUUGGUGUUUGUCUCUCUGGAACCUUCGACAGCCCGGAGGCUCUCGACUCCCAUCUCAACUAGCUUGCCCUGGACCUUAGGUCUAUCUUCCGAGCCUCAUUUCCCAGCUGGACCCCAAGGUCCAGAGACCCCAAGAGCCCAGAGGGAUGGUAUUAGGGUCCCAUGUCAUCAGCUUUUUUUUUUUUUUUUUUUUUUUUUUGGUGUUUAAUUAACAGUGACAGCGCCGACGACACACCUGGAAAGAGCGCAGGCCGCAGAGCGUCGCCGGGGUGGAGGCAGGUGGGCAGGUGUGUCUGUGUCCUAGUGGAGGGUUUAAAACACUGCAGGCAUUUCCCUUGAAGCAUCGUCUCAUCCUCAGUAAUCUUCUGGCUUCUCCUGAGCUUUCAAAAAUUGUCUCGUGUGGAUCUUUUGUCUCUCCAACUAACCGAAUUAAUUUUACAACACAGGCUCUUGCUUAGCACUGUGCUAAGCUUUGACGACGUAUAUUUAUUUACUCUAUCUUAUGUGUCUAUUUUUUUU